CCUACGGGGUGCAGCAGUGAGGAAUAUUGGUCAAUGGACGAGAGUCUGAACCAGCCAAGUAGCGUGAAGGAUGACUGCCCUAUGGGUUGUAAACUUCUUUUAUAUGGGAAUAAAAUGUUCCACGUGUGGGAUUUUGUAUGUACCAUAUGAAUAAGGAUCGGCUAACUCCGUGCCAGCAGCCGCGGUAAUACGGAGGAUCCGAGCGUUAUCCGGAUUUAUUGGGUUUAAAGGGAGCGUAGGUGGAUUGUUAAGUCAGUUGUGAAAGUUUGCGGCUCAACCGUAAAAUUGCAGUUGAAACUGGCAGUCUUGAGUACAGUAGAGGUGGGCGGAAUUCGUGGUGUAGCGGUGAAAUGCUUAGAUAUCACGAAGAACUCCGAUUGCGAAGGCAGUUCACUGGACUGCAACUGACACUGAGGCUCGAAAGUGUGGGUAUCAAACAGGAUUAGAUACCCGAUAGUC
rnacentral:rRNA from 1 species